CUCUGUCCCACCCUGCAUGGUAUCUUUGGUACUCCUGGAGACAGGGCACAUGCUACUGCUGAAAUCUUACAUGAAGAAAAAUAACACUCAUGACAUCUACAACAGUUUCAAGGGUUCAAGGAGAAGCUAAAAAGUACAGCAAAGGCAGUUCCCCAGGCACACUUCUUCCCAUGGAGCUGCAAACAAGUGGGGUUAAUGGGAUUGACCCCAGCUCCCAGGGAGGGCCCUACUGGCCUAAGCCAACUAGCACACAGCGACUCUCUGGCCAAACUAAU
rnacentral:lncRNA from 1 species